CUCAUUUUGUACUUCUAAUUCAUGACUGGUGUUUUGUUUUGCUCUAUUCUCUGCACUUCCGUGUUCAUCAUUUCUCAUCAGAGCUUACUCCACGUCUACGCCAUCCACUGGAACACAACUCUCUCAUGAACAAGGCCUUUAUUAACCCCCUGCAUCUGUGUGGAGUACUUUUAGUGAUGGAUGGAUGCACUUUUUUGGCUUCAAAAUCUCAACACCCAUUCACUGCCAUUAUAAAGCUUGGAAGAGCCAGGACAUUUCUUAAUAUAACCCGUCUGUAUUCGUCUGAAAGAAAAAAAGUCAUAUACACCACGAUGGUUUGAGGGGCCGAUUCCAAAACCUGGCGGAGAGCUAGGCUUAAGCUGACCAAUCCCUGUUUCGCUCCUCCGAUCAAUUUUCCAAUACGGCUGAAACAGCAGCGCCUCGUCCGAAUUCACACGAGGAGAGAUUAAUCUGUGCCACCUGCUGAUAUAGAAGCCAGGGCUGCUGGAACUUGUAUUUAGUACUUUCUCUAUUACAUCUCUCAAAGUGUUUUUCAUGAUAACAGGUGCUUGUAAGAUAAGAGAGAGACUGAAAAAAUAAUAAUUUGUUUUGAGGAGCUGGCAAAUUGC